rnacentral:lncRNA from 1 species
GCCAGGUGUGGUGGCGUGCGCCUGUAAUCCCAGCUACUUGGGAGGCUGAGGCAUGAGGAUCACUUGAAUCCAGGAGGUGGAGGUUGCAGUGAGCUGAGAUCAUGCCACUGCACUCCAGCCUGGGUGAUAGAGUAAGACUGUCUCAAAAAAUAAAAUAAAAAAUGUUUUUAGAGAUGGGGUCUCGCUCUUUUGCCCAGGCUGGAGUUUAGCGGUGCAAUCAUAGUUCACUGCAGUCUUUAACUCCUGGGCUCAAGCAAUCCUCCCACCUCA